rnacentral:lncRNA from 1 species
ACGACGAAAAAUCAAAGAAAAGAGAAGGAUGGAACAGGAGACUUCUUCUCCGACAAAAUCUGACGACACCAAUCGUCGGCAAUCGUGCUCAUAGGUACGAAAAGAAAGGAAGAGAAGAGAGAAAGAGGAAUCGUGCUUACCUCGAGCUUCGGUGACCUCUCCGACGAGAAAUCGAGAUGAGCAUGAUAAAAGGAGGCUGCGUCUUCAAUCGAAAAAGACAAGA